rnacentral:rRNA from 1 species
UGAAACACGGAGCAAUCUGUGGCUUAUAGAUGGGCCUGCGGCGCAUUAGCUAGUUGGUAGGGUAACGGCCUACCAAGGCGACGAUGCGUAGCCGACCUGAGAGGGUGAACGGCCACACUGGGACUGAGACACGGCCCAGACUCCUACGGGAGGCAGCAGUAGGGAAUCUUCCGCAAUGGACGCAAGUCUGACGGAGCAACGCCGCGUGAGUGAUGAAGGUUUUCGGAUCGUAAAGCUCUGUUGCCCUAGACGAACAGCAAGGCGAGUAACUGCGCUUUGUGUGACGGUAUAGGAGAAGAAAGCCCCGGCUAACUACGUGCCAGCAGCCGCGGUAAUACGUAGGGGGCAAGCGUUGUCCGGAAUUAUUGGGCGUAAAGCGCGCGCAGGCGGUUAAUUAAGUUGGGUGUUUAAGCCCGGGGCUCAACCCCGGUUCGCAUCCAAAACUGGUUGACUUGAGUGUAGGAGAGGAAAGUGGAAUUCCACGUG